UACAGAGGGUGCUAGCGUUGUUCGGAAUCAUUGGGCGUAAAGGGCGUGUAGGCGGUUUGCUAAGUCAUGUGUGAAAUCCCUCGGCUUAACCGGGGAACGACGCAUGAAACUGGCAAGCUAGAGUACCAAAGAGGGGGGUGGAAUUCCCGGUGUAGCGGUGAAAUGCGUAGAUAUUGGGAGGAACACCAGUGGCGAAGGCGGCUCACUGGACCGGUUCUGACGCUGAGGCGCGAAAGCGUGGGGAGCAAACGGG
rnacentral:rRNA from 1 species